GCGGGCGUGGCGGAAUGGCAGACGCGUCAGACUUAGGAUCUGGUGGUUUUAUGACCGUGGAGGUUCAAGUCCUCUCGCCCGCACCA
rnacentral:tRNA from 1 species